rnacentral:rRNA from 1 species
ACGCUCGACACCUACGGGAGGCAGCAGUGGGGAAUAUUGGGCAAUGGGCGCAAGCCUGACCCAGCAACGCCGCGUGAAGGAAGAAGGCUUUCGGGUUGUAAACUUCUUUGUCAGGGAAGAGCAGAAGACGGUACCUGACGAAUAAGCCACGGCUAACUACGUACCAGCAGCCGCGGUAAUCUGAGCGGGCUGGCAAGGC